rnacentral:rRNA from 1 species
GUAUCAUGGCUCAGAUUGAACGCUGGCGGCAGGCUUAACACAUGCAAGUCGAACGGUAACAUAAAGAAGCUUGCUUCUUUGAUGACGAGUGGCGGACGGGUGAGUAAUGCUUGGGAAUCUAGCUUAUGGAGGGGGAUAACUACGGGAAACUGUAGCUAAUACCGCGUAGAAUCGAGAGAUGAAAGUGUGGGACCUUCGGGCCACAUGCCAUAGGAUGAGCCCAAGUGGGAUUAGGUAGUUGG